rnacentral:rRNA from 1 species
UAGAGUUUGAUCAUGGCUCAGGAUGAACGCUGGCGGCGUGCUUAACACAUGCAAGUCGAACGAUGAUCCCAGCUUGCUGGGGGAUUAGUGGCGAACGGGUGAGUAACACGUGAGUAACCUGCCCUUAACUCUGGGAUAAGCCUGGGAAACUGGGUCUAAUACCGGAUAUGACUCCUCAUCGCAUGGUGGGGGGUGGAAAGCUUUAUUGUGGUUUUGGAUGGACUCGCGGCCUAUCAGCUUGUUGGUGAGGUAAUGGCUCACCAAGGCGACGACGGGUAGCCGGCCUGAGAGGGUGACCGGCCACACUGGGACUGAGACACGGCCCAGACUCCUACGGGAGGCAGCAGUGGGGAAUAUUGCACAAUGGGCGAAAGCCUGAUGCAGCGACGCCGCGUGAGGGAUGACGGCCUUCGGGUUGUAAACCUCUUUCAGUAGGGAAGAAGCGAAAG